rnacentral:lncRNA from 1 species
ACAGAAGAAUCAUAGACGAACAAGUGUUGGAAAUGAAUGAACUACAAAACAAGGGACGUUCUCUUUGAAAACUGAAGAAACAUAGAGAGGCUCAGAUUCGCCUUUGAUCCAUCAUUCAUCUUUUGUAAUGACCAAAAACCUCACCCAAAAUGAUCUAGCCAGAAGGUUAUGAAUUAAUGUCCUUGCCCUGCUAUGAUCUAGCCAGAAGGUUAUGAAUUAAUGUCCUUGCCCUGCUAUGACCUCCUAGACACAAUCGAUGUGGAACUAAACAAACACCUGCAU